GUUAAACGUUAGUUAUAGUCAACAGAAUAUGUUAAAGGGACCAUCAAAAUAAAGUGAAACCCAUAAAUAUUUGGUUACUCUUU